CAUGCAAGUCGAGCGGAGUUUUGAAAAGCUUGCUUUUCAAAACUUAGCGGCGGACGGGUGAGUAACACGUGGGCAACCUGCCCUUGAGACGGGGAUAACUCCGGGAAACCGGAGCUAAUACCGGAUAACACAUAUCUUCGCAUGAAGAUAUGUUAGAAGGUGGCUUUUAGCUACCACUCAAGGAUGGGCCCGCGGCGCAUUAGCUAGUUGGUGAGGUAACGGCUCACCAAGGCGACGAUGCGUAGCCGACCUGAGAGGGUGAUCGGCCACACUGGGACUGAGACACGGCCCAGACUCCUACGGGAGGCAGCAGUAGGGAAUCUUCCGCAAUGGACGAAAGUCUGACGGAGCAACGCCGCGUGAGUGAUGAAGGUUUUCGGAUCGUAAAGCUCUGUUGUUAGGGAAGAACAAGUACCUGUUGAAUAAGCAGGUACCUUGACGGUACCUAACCAGAAAGCCACGGCUAACUACGUGCCAGCAGCCGCGGUAAUACGUAGGUGGCAAGCGUUGUCCGGAAUUAUUGGGCGUAAAGCGCGCGCAGGCGGUUCCUUAAGUCUGAUGUGAAAGCCCACGGCUCAACCGUGGAGGGUCAUUGGAAACUGGGGAACUUGAGUGCAGAAGAGGAGAGCGGAAUUCCACGUGUAGCGGUGAAAUGCGUAGAGAUGUGGAGGAACACC
rnacentral:rRNA from 1 species